rnacentral:lncRNA from 1 species
CCUAACACUCCGUAUAGCAAAACCCUAGCCUUCAUCUUCAUUACACAAGCAUACUACAAGAACAACAAUGGAGAAACCCUAAAAAAGCCUAGUGCAGUCCUUCACCCUCCACCCAAACAGACCCAGAUACACCCUAAGGAGCCGCCGCUGCUGCUUCUAACCACCAACCAGCCGCCGCCGGAAUCGGAGAGCCGAGAUACACACAACCUCACCCCCUUGAACUUGGAACGGCCGUCUUCUUUACGAAGACUGAAAAAGGUUAGUUCUUCAGCAGCCAUUACACCCGGUGAUCUCCCCCGAGGGAGGCUUCUUCUUCACUGAUAACACACAUACAUACACAAUGUAGAGUGAAUAUGAAAAUCACCCAUACAUAUUUGAGCUUUUCUUCGAGUUCAUUUUGAUCUGAAGAAAUAUGGUUGAGUCGCUUAGUGGUGUUAUGUUUUGCCGACACUGCUUUUUCGUUUCUUGUUCAAGAGAUCGAGCUUAUUUUUUUAGAUUUUUCGGGUAAGUUUAAGAGCUCUGUAAUCUUUGCCUUGGCAUAAACCACAUCCAUUUCAUUUUCAAAUCUGUUCAAUCCGUCGAGGUCACUGCCAUGCCGGCACUUCACCGGAGUUUCUCCAAUUCCGGUCCAGCUUGAGUUCCGUCGAGAAAUGGCAGAAGCUAUCAACUUCACUUUCUAUCGAAAAUUGAUCUUUCGGGUGCCGAUUCGAAUUCCCAUUCGCGAUUCGUCGCAUUUUUGCAUUUCAAGGCUGCCGUUCAUUUAAAUUUAAGAUUCAUUGAGGUCUGUUCUCUUCC